UGGGGAAUAUUGGACAAUGGGCGAAAGCCUGAUCCAGCCAUGCCGCGUGUGUGAAGAAGGUCUUCGGAUUGUAAAGCACUUUAAGUUGGGAGGAAGGGCUGCAAGUUAAUACCUUGUAGUUUUGACGUUACCAACAGAAUAAGCACCGGCUAACUUCGUGCCAGCAGCCGCGGUAAUACGAAGGGUGCAAGCGUUAAUCGGAAUUACUGGGCGUAAAGCGCGCGUAGGUGGUUUGGUAAGAUGGAUGUGAAAUCCCCGGGCUCAACCGGGGAACUGCAUCCAUAACUGCCUUACUAGAGGACGGUAGAGGGUUGUGGAAUUUCCUGUGUAGCGGUGAAAUGCGUAGAUAUAGGAAGGAACACCAGUGGCGAAGGCGACCACCUGGACUGAUACUGACACUGAGGUGCGAAAGCGUGGGGAGCAAAC
rnacentral:rRNA from 1 species